UACAGAGGGUGCGAGCGUUGUUCGGAAUUAUUGGGCGUAAAGGGCGCGUAGGCGGUGCGGUAAGUCACAUGUGAAAUCUCCUGGCUCAACUGGGAGCUUGCAGGCGAAACUGCCGUGCUGGAGUGUGGGAGAGGUGCGUGGAAUUCCUGGUGUAGCGGUGAAAUGCGUAGAUAUCAGGAGGAACACCUGUGGCGAAAGCGGCGCACUGGACCACAACUGACGCUGAGGCGCGAAAGCUAGGGGAGCAAACAGG
rnacentral:rRNA from 1 species